rnacentral:lncRNA from 1 species
CCUUAAAUAUUACAUAAAGUAUGAGCAAAAUUCUUUCACAUCUCUAAAGACCAAAUCAUAACAAUCCUCUCAAUAAAAAAAUAUACAACAUUCCAGAUAUUAGUAAAGGAAAAUAAAUUAGACCCUUGUACAAUAACUUAGAAUCAUGUUGCUCUUCUUCAAUGGGCUCUAAUUUUUUGAAAGAAUCUGAGGAUCUUCUACUCUUAGAACGAGAUAUUAGGAGGGUUGGUGCAACUUCGCCCCAAUUGAGGAUGGUCUCCAUUUCUCUCACCAUUUUAUAAUAAAAUCUCAAACAAAUCCUUUGUUCCUUAGAAAAAUAAGAUUACAUUAAACUAUGAAUGACGACGAAGAUAAAAUGCAAU